GAGGGUAUAGCUCAGUGGUAAGAGUGCCUGCUUAGCAUGAAGGAGGCCCUGGGUUCAAUCCCCAGUACCUCCA
rfam:Camelus ferus unplaced genomic scaffold scaffold1687, whole genome shotgun sequence.